GGAUGGUGAAGAUUGAUAUUUGGUCUCCGUUGUAAUUGGCAUUUUUUUGCCUUGCCGACCAUACUGCUAUAUCACCACCCAUAUUCUGAGUCC
rfam:Triticum urartu cultivar G1812 contig642202, whole genome shotgun sequence.